GGCCAAAUCCCCACCGCAGUGCAGUGAACCCUCCUCCCCCGGCUCCCAGCACCACCGCAACAACCAUCGUGCUGAAGCAGCUGCCUUUCCCCAUCAGCGAGGAUGUCGCAAGAGGACACGGAGCCCUGAACCCACAACCGGGGGGAGGAAGCCGCCCCGAGCAGAGGCACGGCCACGAGGGACGGUACCGCGGUGGCAUCGGAACGGCGGCUCCGAGCAGACUCCCUACAAUGAAGAUCAACAGCUUCAAGAGAAGUUCUUGUGACUGGGCAGGACACAACAGUCUCCUGACAUCAACGUGCAGUAAGCAACCAAUGCUGAUGCAAAUCCCAUCUGCUGUAAUCAUGACAUCACCCCUAAUUAUAUAAUGAAUGAGGAUCUCACCACCUGCAGAGUCCUGACGUCACCAGCAGAGCUGGAGAAAGGUCCAGAGCAGGAUGAUCAAACAGUGAGUCCGUAGGAGGAGGACCUCAGCCUGGAAACCAAGCAGCUAGAGAGGCACAUCUGG
ensembl:lncRNA